UUCCUACCGGAGGCAGCAGUGGGGAAUAUGGACAAUGGGCGAAAGCAUGAUCCAGCCAGCCAUCCGGGUGAAGAGGGCAUUGGGGUGUAAAGGUAAAUUUCUUGGAAGAAGGGUAAACCUUUACUAGGUGAAAGAGACGGUACUGAAGAAUAAGCACAGCUAUUUUU
rnacentral:rRNA from 1 species